GAGCAACGGACUGUUAAUCCGUGGGUCGUUGGUUCGAGUCCAACUUGGGGAGCCA
rnacentral:tRNA from 1 species